GCUUCACAAGGGACAUUCUCAUAUCGUUCGGUGCGAUGAAGAACAUAUAAAACGCAAACAGGACGAGAUCGGCAGAGGAAAGAGUAGAACCAAGAAAUCCUUGCCACAUCCUGCGAUAAAACAUAUCCACUAAUUUUUAAGAAGCCCAAUU